rnacentral:rRNA from 1 species
UACGAAGGGGGCUAGCGUUGCUCGGAAUCACUGGGCGUAAAGCGCACGUAGGCGGAUUGUUAAGUCAGGGGUGAAAUCCUGGAGCUCAACUCCAGAACUGCCCUUGAUACUGACGGCCUCGAGUCCGGGAGAGGUGAGUGGAACUGCGAGUGUAGAGGUGAAAUUCGAUAGAUAUUCGCAAGAACACCAGUGGCGAAGGCGGCUCACUGGCCCGGUACUGACGCUGAGGUGCGAAAGCCAGGGAGCAAGCGG